rnacentral:rRNA from 1 species
GACGAACCGUCCAAACGUUAUUCGGAAUUACUGGGCUUAAAGGGUGCGUAGGCGGCGCGGUAAGUUGGGUGUGAAAUCCCUCGGCUCAACCGAGGAAUUGCGCCCAAAACUGUCGUGCUUGAGGGAGGCAGAGGUGAGCGGAACUGAUGGUGGAGCGGUGAAAUGCGUUGAUAUCAUCAGGAACACCAGUGGCGAAAGCGGCUCACUGGGCCUUUUUCUGACGCUGAGGCACGAAAGCUAGGGGAGCAAACGGG